GACGAACGCUGGCGGCGUGCUUAACACAUGCAAGUCGAACGGAAAGGCCCUGCUUUUGUGGGGUGCUCGAGUGGCGAACGGGUGAGUAACACGUGAGUAACCUGCCCUUGACUUUGGGAUAACUUCAGGAAACUGGGGCUAAUACCGGAUAGGAGCUCCUGCUGCAUGGUGGGGGUUGGAAAGUUUCGGCGGUUGGGGAUGGACUCGCGGCUUAUCAGCUUGUUGGUGGGGUAGUGGCUUGCCAAGGCUUUGACGGGUAGCCGGCCUGAGAGGGUGACCGGCCACAUUGGGACUGAGAUACGGCCCAGACUCCUACGGGAGGCAGCAGUGGGGAAUAUUGCACAAUGGGCGGAAGCCUGAUGCAGCAACGCCGCGUGCGGGAUGACGGCCUUCGGGUUGCAAACCGCUUUCGCCUGUGACGAAGCGUGAGUGACGGUAAUGGGUAAAGAAGCACCGGCUAACUACGUGC
rnacentral:rRNA from 1 species